rnacentral:RNase_P_RNA from 1 species
CUGAUCGCGUGCAUUCGCUCUUUUCGAAAGAAGGGAGAGGAAAGUCCGGACACCAUAGAGCAGGAUUCCUUGUGAAAACGAGGGAUGUCAGCGUCAAGGCUGGCAGACAGACAGUGUCACAGAAAAUAAACCGCCGCUUUUUGCGGUCAGGGUGAAAAGGUGAGGUAAGAGCUCACCAGCGGCAGUGGCGACAUUGCCGGCUUGGAAAACCCCACCUGGAGCAAGACCAAAUAGGGGAGCGUUUGAGGGUGGCCCGCCCGAAGCUCCCGGGUAGGUCGCUGGAGGCCCCGGGCAACCGGGGUCCUAGAGGAAUGAUCAUCACCGGGGCAACCCGGGACAGAACUCGGCUUACGGCCUGCUUCGCGCC